GGAGAGAUGGCAGAGUGGUUUAAUGCGGCGGUCUUGAAAACCGUUGAAAAAAAUUUAAUUUUUCCGUGGGUUCGAAUCCCUCUCUCUCCG
rnacentral:tRNA from 1 species